rnacentral:rRNA from 1 species
UACGAACCGUCCAAACGUUAUUCGGAAUCACUGGGCUUACAGAGUUCGUAGGCGGCGGAGAAAGUAGGGUGUGAAAGCCCUCGGCUCAACCGAGGAAUAGCGCCCUAAACUACUUCGCUUGAGGAGGCUAGAGGUGAGCAGAACAGAUGGUGGAGCGGUGAAAUGCGUUGAUAUCAUCUGGAAUACCGGAGGCGAAGGCGGCUCACUGGGACCUUUCUGACGCUGAGGAACGAAAGCUAGGGUAGCGAACGG